AGAGUUGAUCAUGGCUCAGGAUGAACGCUGGCGGCGUGCUUAACACAUGCAAGUCGAACGGGAACUCUGAACUGAAGGUUCGCUGGAUGUUAGAAAUUCUAGUGGCGGACGGGUGAGUAACGCGUGGGUAACCUGCCUAUAAGACGUGAACAACAGUUAGAAAUGACUGCUAAUACACGAUAAGCACACAGUAUCGCAUGAUACAGUGUGAAAAGAAUUUCGCUUAUAGAUGGACCCGCGUUUGAUUAGCCAGUUGGUGGGGUAACGGCCUACCAAAGCAACGAUCAAUAGCCGGCCUGAGAGGGCGAUCGGCCACAUUGGGACUGAGACACGGCCCAAACUCCUACGGGAGGCAGCAGUGGGGAAUAUUGGACAAUGGGGGCAACCCUGAUCCAAGCAACGCCGCGUGAGUGAUGAAGUAUCUUGGUAUGUAAAGCUCUAUCAGUAGGUAUGAAACAAGACAGCCUAACUAAGAAGCCCCGGCUAACUACGUGCCAGCCGCCGC
rnacentral:rRNA from 1 species